rnacentral:rRNA from 1 species
UACGAAGGGGGCUAGCGUUGUUCGGAAUUACUGGGCGUAAAGCGCACGUAGGCGGAUCGAUCAGUCAGGGGUGAAAUCCCAGAGCUCAACUCUGGAACUGCCUUUGAUACUGUCGAUCUAGAGUAUGGAAGAGGUGAGUGGAAUUCCGAGUGUAGAGGUGAAAUUCGUAGAUAUUCGGAGGAACACCAGUGGCGAAGGCGGCUCACUGGUCCAUUACUGACGCUGAGGUGCGAAAGCGUGGGGAGAAAACAGG